rnacentral:tRNA from 1 species
GCGUCUGUGGCCUAGUUGGUAAAGGCAGAACUCUAGUACGUGUCUCAGCAUAGCUGAGGUUGUGAGUUUGACUCUCACCAUACACA